AGCUUGAUUUUGUGAACUAGAAUGUCUUUGCUUACAUCUACUAAAAUAUGCCAAAAGCACAAAUUUAUGCACUGAAUAUCAGAGAGAAAAAUUAUCUGAAGCAACACACCAGAUACAUUUUCAACUGGGUAAAUACAGAGGACCCACGAGAGGACACCACAGUGCCCUGGAGAGUCAGUGAAGACGAUGUGCAGCUGAUCUCCUACCAGCCGAAGAUACCCUUGGAUCCUAAGUGAGAAACACAGAGUUUCAAGCCCUCAGUUUAACAGAAUCUAGUCUCAUAGUGACCUGUCAUGCCCCUAUCUCAUUCAAGGGUUUACAAUGAUCAUCUUCCAGAGUUUGAGAUAUGAUUCUUAAUGCUGGUUAGACUAUUAACAGCUGACUUCUACAUGGAAUUUACUGUUCUAAGCACAUUACUUGUAUGAGCUCCUUUACUCUUACAAGCUAUAUGGCCUGGUGGAUAAAAUUAUACUGCCAAAGACCUUGAUCUGAAGCCAUUAUUUGUGUAGCCACUUCUUCAGAAAUCAGAAAAUCAUUUAAGCUUGGGGUAGACAGCUGUGUGAAGUGUUGUCAAAGUUCUAAGAUGCUGCGGGGAAGCCACUGCCCACUGCAUGCUGCUGGCUACGGUGCAUUGCCUGGACCACCCGUGCUGCAGGGGCCUUCACAGCAAGAACACCACAGUCAGGA